AAGUUCUGAACCGUGGAUGAUAAUCCCCACCUGAUGCAGGUAAACAGUGGAGUCCACCUUGUUUUUUCCCUCAGGCUUUUGGAUACACUACAUAUUAAGGAAGUUUCUGAAGCAAUGCUCUACAUUGAUGGUAAACUUCAAUAAACAUGGAACCAGGUACAAAUGGACUUAUGUUGGUUACUGCAAGUGAAAUGUUGCAGACAGUAGAGUUAGAGCCAGAAUACAUGGUGAAAAUAUGUAUCUGCCAUCACAUGAGAGAAUAGUCACUAUGUUUUGUUACUGCCCAUGUGUAUGGUAUGAGCUAAAGGGAAAGAAGUAUCCUCAUAUUUUCCAGAAGAUCAUUAAAAUCAAUGUGUAAUUCUUAGCUUUCCAGGUGAAUAUUUGCAUUCCCCCAAGAUUUUCUUGGUUUCAGGUCUUAGAAUAUCAAGUUAGUGUCUGUAUAGAGCACAGACACUUAUAAGGCACUGAUUUGUCUGCCCCAAACUGGCCCAAAGGACAGUGGGAUGUACUGACAUUUUGCUGACAUACUCUGACACAUUGUUGUCUGAGACUCAAUGGUAUAACCAUGGGAAAACUGAGAAUGUACAAAGAUCAAAAGGAGAGCUUAAGGUCAAAGGUUGGUGUUGAACAACACAGAAAAGAUUGCUAUGAGAGAAAAUAUUGGCAGGGCUCUGAUAACUAACAUUCACCAGGAUCCCUGUCUGGGGUCCACAAUGCUGAAUUUCUCACACUUAAAUAUGUUGUAACUAGACUUGUAAGGUUGUGUCUGUAUAUCUAAGCAAUGUGUUAGGUUUGUAGUAAUAUCAAUCUAAAACACUGAUAUUUCUUUGAGAAGUGGGCAUAUAUGAGGGUCUGAGACAAUGGUCAAGACUGGGAGAAUGACUUCACUGAUAUCUGUCAGAAAGGGGAAGUUAAGGGUACACAAUUGUUUUAAAUAAAGACUUUUAUAGGUCAGAAGAUGUUUUCUCCACAAGACUGAAAAAGCUCAAAAAAUAGCUACAAAUUCCUCCAGGUACUCUUCCACGACUUUAACCACUCCCUCAUGAUUGUUUUACAUAGUAGCUGAACAUUCACAGUCAAAACUGAAUAAUUAAAGGUAAUGAUAAUUGUAUCCACAGGAAAUUAAUUUUCCAUGUGGACUUCAAAGUUGUUGUCCGGUGAAAAUAAAGAAAAGGACGUUACAGGUUACAGGAGAAAACUCUCAUUAGUGUUCGAGGAAGGGUGCAUAGGCCUCCAACUUGACCUAUUGUACCACAUAG
rnacentral:sRNA from 1 species